CUCUGAACCUCUGAGCCAUCUCUCCAGCCCUUGAUUGUGUUUCUAGCCCUUUACAUGUUCUGAAUAUUAAUCCUCUAUGAGAUGUGUAGUUGGCAAAGAUCCUCUUCUGGCCUUUGGGUUUCCUUGGUUGAUGGCUUCCUCUGCAGACAGAAGCGUUUACAUUUUAUAAGGUCCCAUUUGUCACAUGAUGGCCUUAGUUCCAGGCAAAUGGAAGCCUCCUCAGAAACCCCUUCCCUUAUUCAUAUCCUGUGUUUUCUUUUACUAGUUUCUUCUACAAUCCAGGGUUCACAGUGAGGUCUUUGACCCACUUGGAGUUGGUUUUGUUUUUUGCGCGGGGGUGGGGGGGCAGCGUUGGGGACAGGAUGACAGAUGUUGGCAUCAUUUCAUUUUCUACCUGUGGACACCAGCUUUCCCAGUGCUGUUUGCUGAAGGAACACACCCUCCCUACCCAGCUAAGCACUCCCUGCUGCAUGGUGUUCACCCAUGCCCUGAGCUCUGGGGCUACAAAUGAGGGGCUCAAGACUCAGAGAGGUCAUGGGCCUUGCACUGGUAUUUUGUCAAGAAUGGGAGAGCCAGUCUACAAUGAAUGGUCAGAAAAGAGAGCUUGGUACAGAAACACAAGGAGUGAGCACAAAAGGUUCCCUUGAGACCUAGUAAGGAUGGCUGACACACACGGAAUGGUUAAUGUGCUGGCCCCGACAGGAUCAUCUUGAUUUCACAAUGUGAUCUCGUGAGGUAGGUGGUGGAAAGAUGAUGGUCCAUUUGCCUGGUGACUGGUCAUUAAGCCAAUUGAAUUCACCAAUCUUGUUUGUGUGGGAGGAUGAGGGCUGUGGAAAUCUAAGGAAGUGCCCCACUCCUGAUCAUUACCGAAGAAUGGAGAAUUUGAUGUCUUGCAACAUCAAAGGAGGUAAAUUAGGCCAACCAGAUAGUGUAUAAAAAGCAAAUCCUUCCUCCCAGCUCCAGUAAAGCAACACAGCCCUUGGGCCCCUUGAUCUCAACUGCACAUGAGAUCCAAGCCCAACAGAGCCUGCGUAGCAACAUAGCCAUGACAUUGGAAGGCACUAAACUUACAGUAAUUGUCAUGAUGGUCAAAUGGUUGCCUGAAGGCUCAUGCUUGCCUGGUCUUAAGUUUCUGUCUCUAGUGAUGCACAGUAGGCACACACAGUAGGUAUCUGUAGGUAAAUAUCUGUCUCCCAACAAAACUGAUGUGAAUAAAUCUAGCUAACCUGCCCCCCAGAGAUGGUGCCUUGUUCCGUUUCUCACCCUCCGUACCAGGCUCUGGAUGAGCGGAGCUGACAAUGCCCAGCUCUUCUUGGAGCUCAGAGCCAUUGUUUCUUGCAGGAGACGACACACUGGGAUGCCUGCUCUGUGAUUUGUGGAGACUGGCUCCGGUUUAAGGAGAGAAUGCUGUGAUUUAUCUUGCUAAGGCCUCCUUUUCUUCUCCCGAUGAUGAUGGAUGCCCACAGCCACAUCAGAAGACUUCAGGAGACACACGGCACAGAGCUAUGGCAGGGUUCACACGAUGGAGCAAGAGCAGAAUGAAGCAAGUCCCAGCUUUAUCACCUUUGGAAGACACAGGUCUCCUGGUUUCCUCUCCACGGCUGCCAUCUUCAAGACUUCCCAUGAGUUACAAUGGUUCCCUAACUGCUGAUAUUUCACAAGCUAUAAAAGGAAAGGAGAAGUCCACAGCGUAGUCUGGUGGAGAAGGCAGGCCCAGGUCCUGUAUGAAGCAGAGGUGCUUCACUGGAGUUAAUCCUUUUGAAGCACAGAACCUUUGUCCAGCGUCUGAAGCUUGGCAUGGGCACAGGACCGGCAUUAAGAUGAACAACCAAGUUCCUGACUUCAUAGAGUUUGCAGCACAUGCUGGCUGUCCUGGCUAGCUAGCAUUUACCGUCAACCUGAUGUAACCUAGAGUCAUCUGGGAAGAGGAAACCUCAACCGAUCAGAUUACUAGAUCAGAUUGGCCUGCGGACAUGUUUGUGGGAAAUUGUCUUGGUUGUUUGAUGGAUGGAGGAGGGUCUAGAACAUGGUGGGUAGUGACGGCUCUGGAAAUGUGAUCCUCUGUUGACAAGAAAGUCAGCUGAGCAGGUGGGAAGUAGGGUUCCCCCUCAGCUUCUGUGUCUGGUCCUUGCUCCCACUUCCCUUAGUGAUGGGCUGUGACCUGGAAGUGUCAGCCAGGUAAACUCCACCCUCCCCAAGUUGCUUUUGGUCAGAGUGUUUCAUCACAGCAACCAGAAAGCAAACCAGAACACUGGGGAAGGUGGACCAAACCAUUUUUAAUUCAAACAUGAAUCCCAAUGAGGGUGUAACAAUAUUUCUCAGCUUUUGUUCUUGAAAUCCAUGUUUAAUCCUUUUUACCCUUGCCUUUAAUUAUGUGUCUUGUACAAAGUGCUUUCUAACACCUCCAAAACUGCUCUAAAGCAAUAAUAUUGUUACUUCUAGAGGGGACAACUAACCUUUAAUGUGAACAGAGGACUGUCACAUUCAGUGCUUUCAAAUCCAGAAUCAGGGAUGUUUAAAUGGGUACUCGUUCUGGAGGCAUUUAUUACCAAUUUUCUGUAAGUAGCAAAUUUGAAAGAUUUCCUUUUCAGAUACAGUAAGAAAGCCCCUUGAGGGCCACUUCCUGCUAUGCCAAAAUGCAUGCUGACAGCCUUCAAGUAUUAAAAAGAGCAAGCAAAACAUCUCAAAUAUUUGGACUGUGCAAACCAAACCAGUAGGGGAAUAAGCACAUGACUCUGCAGGAACAAAGAACAUUAUUCAGCAAAAGAGAGAGAGAGAGAGAGAGAGAGAGAGAGAGAGAGAGAGAGGCAGUCUGCAUCAGACUAUAAAAUAAAUUUCCC